UGUCCAGGGAUGGGAAUCGAACCCACAAUGUUCCGCUUACCGGGCAGAUGCCAUGUCCACUAGGGGAUAGACCGAAGAC